AAACGCGGUAAUUGCGGUGCAAG
rnacentral:snRNA from 1 species